CAAAACGUUGCUUUUCCUAUAUCCUAUAAAACAAAAAGUAAAGGAUGAACCAAGUCUCUCAAAAUAGUCACCAGGCCCCUUCUUUGUAAGUCCUGAAGUGAAGUAGUAACUUCUUUGGUGUGGAGAGGUGGAGGGAUUCCCAGUAUUUGUUCUCUGCCUUAAGUGCUACCUCAGUCCAAUCUGAGACUUGAAGAGUUCCAUUUUAUCAUCCAUAGCAAAAGAUAAGAUUAAAUUUGAGAUUUUUGUAGCUUUAUCUCUGUUGAGUUACAGAGUUUACAGCCUGAUGAAACUGCCAAUUCUUUUUCACAUGUGAACUUCCUAAGUCCAUGAUGAACUCAUGUAACUAGGCUUAGGGAUCCAGGUGGAGGAGACUGUAUUUAUCCUCAUGACUUUUAUUUUUCCUGGACUCUAGUUGGCACCCUCACCUCUUUCCUAUCUCUUGCCUUGGGAAAAGCCAAAUCUAAUAUUUCUGUGCCUUCUGAGCUCUCAAUAUCUUCUGUCCAAAUAGAAAAACCAACUUCCACUCCCUUUCUACAACAAGGGAAGAAUGAAAUUGCUACAUCUUGGAUGAACCCACUGAUGAUAUCCUGAAGAUUGAUCUGAAGUGGAGAAGGACCACUCUGAAGUCAGUUUAUGCCCUAAAUUUCAGGAGACCCACAUGCACCAUUAGCCUUGCUCAGGGCCAAUAUUUGCACAAAUCCUUCCCCUUGGUCUCCACUUUUCCUUGUGGUAGUCAGUGGGUUGUGCCUGUGCCCUGUGGCCAAUCAUACCCAAGUGUGGCCCUAGCCUUCUGUGAUGUCAAUGGGCAGGGCACAAGGAUAUACAUCAGGUGCGUGGCUGCAGUUUUGUGGUUGGUGAAGCCACCCAUGCUGGGUGUGGAGACCUUGGCUCCAGAUCCAGGAGGGCUGGGGACAUGAAGGUGAAGGCAGGCAGCUGGCAGCCAGGAGACUCACUGUCUCCUGAUAGUGAUGCUGUAAUGUUACAACAUCAGAGAUGCUUGCUGGCACUGAGGCGGGAUGCAGCAGGACUUAGGACACCUGACAUGGAGCGACAUUGUAUUCCAGGUGCUGAAGCAACAUUUAUCCAAAGAUGCCAUGUUCUGCUACACAUGGCGCUGGAGGACCUCUGCUACCAUUUCCCCUGGGAAGUAACCUGCUCAGGCAGGAAUGCACUGACUCCAGGCCUGGGUCCUUGAGCUACGCUUAGUGCCCUUGUGUUCCAGUUCCAGCUACUUGCAUCGAAGCUAACACAGUAAAACAACGUGUGAACUUCACAGUGUAACAUAUUUGUUUGAAAUAGAAAAGCCAAUACUUAAAUGCAUCUGGAACUAAAAGUGCCCUUAAAUAACCAAAACAAUCUUGAAGAAAAAUAACAAAGUUGGAGGAUUCAUAUAUCCUGAUUUCAAAACUUACUACAAAGCUACAAAGCCCUCAAAACAAUGCAUUACUGGCAUAAAGAUAGAAAUAUAGAUCACUGUAUAAUUGAGAGUCCACUAACAAACCCAGGUAUCCAUCAUCAAUUGAUGUUGAACAAUGUGGAAAGAAUAGGCUCUUUGACAAAUGCUGUUAGGAUAUUACUGGAUAUUCACAUGCAAAGAAUGAAGUUGGACCCCUACCUCAUACCACAUAUUAAUGUUAACUCAAAAUGGAUCAAUGACCUAAGAUAAGAACUAAAGUCAUAAAGUUACUAGGAGCAAAUGGAAGUAAAUUUUCAUGACCUUGGAUUUAGCAAUGGAUUCUUAAAUAUGAUACCAAAAAUAUGAACAACAAAAGAAAAAUAUACAUGUUACACUUAAUCGAGGACAUUAUGAAGAAAGUGAACGGUCAAUCUCCAGAAUGGGAAAAAAUAUUUGCAAGUCAUGUAGCUAAUAAAGGUCUAGUAUCCAGAAUAUAUUAAGAACUCUUACAGCUCAAUAAUGAAAAGAUCAACAGUCCAAUUAAAAAAAAUAACAAAGGAAUAGACAUUUCUCCAAAGAAGAUGUAUAAAUGGACACCAAGCAAAUGAAAAAAAAUAUUAGUUUUUAGGGAAAUGCAAAUUAAAACCAUAAUGAAGCAGGACUUCACACCCACCAAGGUGGCUAUAAUAAAAAAAAAAAAAGGAAAAUAGGAGAGAUUGGAACCCCCAUACAUUGCUGGUGGGAAUGUAGAAUGGUUCAGUCAUUGAGGAAAAUAGAUUGCUGCUUCCUCCAAAAACUAAACAGAAUUACCAAUGACCCAGAAAUUCUCUUCCUAGGUAUAUACUCCAAAGAAUUGAAAACAGAUA